UGAGGAAUAUUGGUCAAUGGACGAGAGUCUGAACCAGCCAAGUAGCGUGAAGGAUGAAGGUCCUACGGAUUGUAAACUUCUUUUAUAAGGGAAUAAACCCUCCCACGUGUGGGAGCUUGUAUGUACCUUAUGAAUAAGCAUCGGCUAACUCCGUGCCAGCAGCCGCGGUAAUACGGAGGAUGCGAGCGUUAUCCGGAUUUAUUGGGUUUAAAGGGAGCGCAGACGGGUCGUUAAGUCAGCUGUGAAAGUUUGGGGCUCAACCUUGAAAUUGCAGUUGAUACUGGCGUCCUUGAGUGCGGUUGAGGUGUGCGGAAUUCGUGGUGUAGCGGUGAAAUGCUUAGAUAUCACGAAGAACCCCGAUUGCGAAGGCAGCUUGCUAAACUGUAACUGACGUUCAUGCUCGAAAGUGUGGGUAUCAAACAGGAUUAGAUACCCUGGUAGUCCACACGGUAAACGAUGGAUACUCGCUGUUGGCGAUAUACUGUCAGCGGCCAAGCGAAAGCAUUAAGUAUCCCACCUGGGGAGUACGCCGGCAACGGUGAAACUCAAAGGAAUUGACGGGGGCCCGCACAAGCGGAGGAACAUGUGGUUUAAUUCGAUGAUACGCGAGGAACCUUACCCGGGCUUAAAUUGCAGACGAAUUACGAGGAAACUUGUAAGCCGCAAGGCGUCUGUGAAGGUGCUGCAUGGUUGUCGUCAGCUCGUGCCGUGAGGUGUCGGCUUAAGUGCCAUAACGAGCGCAACCCUCGUGGUCAGUUACUAACAGGUUAAGCUGAGGACUCUGGCCAGACUGCCAUCGUAAGAUGUGAGGAAGGUGGGGAUGACGUCAAAUCAGCACGGCCCUUACGUCUGGGGCUACACACGUGUUACAAUGGGAGGUACAGAAGGCAGCUACCCGGCGACGGGAUGCCAAUCCCCAAAACCUCUCUCAGUUCGGACUGGAGUCUGCAACCCGACUCCACGAAGCUGGAUUCGCUAGUAAUCGCGCAUCAGCCACGGCGCGGUGAAUACGUUCCC
rnacentral:rRNA from 1 species